UCUCAGUGGAUGUUCCUAAUGACACUUGAAUGCGCCCUAUGAAAAAAAUUUAAAUUAUAUAAUUUUAAUUUUUUUCAUAGGGCACAUUCACUAGGAACAUCUACUGAG